AUGUGUUUGAUAGAUCUCAACAGGGUCUCAGAGUUUUUCACACACCCCUGUGGCCCUGGUAAGUCCUUCACAGUAGAACUCUGGCCUCGGGAGGGUGACACAGCUGCCAUAGGGACAGUGUCUCCGACUAUAAAAAAUCUUACCCAUAACACCUUAGAAACCAUUUGUGUGGUUAUUUUUAAUAAAAUGUUUGUUUUAAAUGAUGCAUUUAAGUUAACGCAUGGUUGUAAAGAAAUACUUCAGCCAUUUUUAGGCUCAUGUUGAUGAUUUUUUUUUGAGUGGUCAUGAUCAAGCGCUCAGUUUCAGGUCCUAAUGUUUUAGUGCAUCAAAAUAGAAUGAUUCCAAAAACCUCAAAACAUGUCUCCAGUUUAUUGGUACGCCAACUUAAUUCUCAACAAUGGGCCCAGGUGCCCCCUCUAGGGAGACCCAGAGAGCUUUUAAGGUUUCUGUUUACAGUAAGUAAGGUCAGUAAGAAAAGAAUGUCCCAAUUUAAGACCUGAUGCAGUUUGGGGUUAAUGCAUGUCUAUAAAUUACAGUUGAGAUGCUGUAUAUGGUCAAAUUAACUCUUGAAAAUGUCAUUUUUUUAUGGGGCUGGGAUAUUAUUAGAGAAUCUCUAGAUGGCAGUGUUGAGUCAUACAUUGCCUGUCCAACUGGCUAUCCUGUUGGCUGUAGAGGAUUGCGGGCCAUGUUGUCUAAUGUUGUAUAAUUCGACGUCCAUCUGAUACAUGGUGAUUGACCGUUUGUUUUUCGCAGUGCUCUCUGACAUGGUGAGUGAUGAUAGAGAAAAUGAAAACCUAAUUCACCCCUCCUAUCAUCAGAUUACUGUGAUACUGUCAGUGGCCAGCUCUAAUGAAUGGAAACACAAAUGUCCCAAAGCGCUUCCCUGACUUAUAAUCAAUGAGAACAUUUUCAUAGAGACAUAUCUGAUUUGUUUUCUUAAUCAAGAUCCACUGUAUGCUUAUCUCAAUGCGUAAUUUACAUUGAUUGCUGCUUUAAAUGGGAAUUUGAGUUACCGUGAGUGACCACUCUGUAGAAUGUAAAAAGUAAACAGUGGUAUUUAGACAAUUUUGGAUUGCAUUACCUUCACAAUGUCAAGCAAAACUGUCAAUACACUAGUUGUUCGUCAAAUGCAAAUCAAUGCAAAUUCACUUGCCAUUACAGUAAACAGCAUGAAAAUAUUAUUUUUUUCCACCAUUUUUUAAAUUUCCACUAUCCUUGACUUGCUUAGGACUGAUUCAACAAGGAACCAGUAUAUUGAGUCACAUGAGAAAAGAGUCCUCAAUCCAUUUCCUCCCCAAGUGUUAUAUACUGUGUUUGCUCUUACAGAAGUCAUCCAUACGCUGUUACUCUGUAGCAUGACCCUAGCACAUUAAGGGUGUGAUAUGUUUCUGAGAAAUGGCUGCUUAAUAAUUGGCCUGUUGGAUGGCCACAACAAUGGCAGAUGUUACAUAUGUGAGAGAGCUGGUCCAAAAAUUAUAUCAGAAAUUAUCAUGAUUAGCGUGUGCUCACCCUAAGGGAGCGGUGGUGUUUUGUGGAAAAUGCAAUGAUUGGUAUUCAGCGAUGCUGUGCCUUAUGUAUAUCAAAACUGCCAGCUCCAUGAAUAUUCACUGAGCAACUGUUACUUGGGCACUGAGUGUGAUUUCCCUGCUGCUUCUGCACUUCAUUAGGCUAAUUGUCUCACUCAUUGCAUGGACCCUCAGUCAAACUCAAUGAACUACCUCUCACACACAACAGCCAGCCAAAGUGUGGCUGGCCUCGAGCACUGAUGGGUUGGUGAAGAGAUUUCGCAGUUGUUUAGGCCCCCCCCCCCNNNNNNNNNNGCAUGGCUACAUGUGCCUCACAACCUCAUCCGAUUAUGUUUAGGAUCCUAAUUUAUAGCCGCAGUUAAGGCUGCACCACUGGGCUCAAAUUAGGUUAUCUGUAUUCCAGUGGCGGUCGGUGCCGUUUAAGAUAAGAUUUUUAUAUUAUGGGCAUGGCCUUAUUUCUACUACAGCAUAUUGGAUGACUGUCAGUCAUUCUCCAUUCACCCAGCUCAAUGUAACAUUGAUAGGUUUAGGCUCCUACAUGAUACUCUAAUUUUCCCUUUACCCACUGAGAGGUUGCAACAACCUAACCUAUGAAUGAAUGUUUACAAUGUAAAUUUACACUGCUAUACAAGCUGUACACUCACUACUUUACAUUGUAGCAAAGUGUCAUUUCUUCAGUGUUGUCACAUGAAAAGAUAUACUCAAAUACUUACAAAAAUGUGAGGGGUGUACUCACUUUUGUGAUAUACUGUAGGUGCACAGGUCGAGAGAAACAUUUGAAUAAUCAAGGUGACAGACCACACAGCGACCACACUUACAAUACAUGAGAGUUCCCUUUGCUCACAUCUAGUGGACAUGUUGAUUUUUUUGCCCUCUGCUAUGUUUAGUCUGCUGUGAUCUAGUGUACUAAAAUAGAUGGCUCUCCUAUUCUUACCACUUUGCCCAGUCAUAUUAAACGUUCAAAAUACUUUUCUAGGGGUUCUGAUACUUCUAGCCUUGAUUUACAUUUUGUGUUAUCGUAUCUUUGUACAAAGGCCAUGCAGUUUUUAAUCUUUGUUUCCAUUGAACAUGCCAUACAAGUAAAGGCAUUUUAAUGAGUUAUAUGAAGAGUUCCUUGGUCCUCCUUUCUUUUUUCAUGCCCACAGUAUUCCAGAUAGUAGCUCAUAUCCCACUAAAGGUCUUAUUCGGGAUAAGCUGUUUACAUUCACCUUUGAUAUCCUGCUCACAAGUAUCCAUGUAUGAAUAAACAGAAUAUUCCUAAUUGAAGUUUAAAUGAGUUAUGUGGAACAUUAACUGAAAUAUGGACACUGGCUGUAGGCAUAUAACCUCUCACAUGUAGCUAAUAUAAUAUUAACUCCUGCAAAAUUAUGCAUUUCUUGGAGUAAAAUGAUUCAAUGUGCUGUUGAUGUACUGUUUAAUAUUUUGUUUUAUGUGUAAUGUAAGUGCCUUGAUGUGUUUGUACCCCAGGAAGACUAGCUGCACCAACUGGCCAGAUCGCAGUUGUAAAUGAGAACUUGUUCUCAACUGGCCUACCUGGUUAAAUAAAGGUGAAAUAAAAAUAAUAAUAAUGGAGAUCCCUAAUAAAUACAAAGUCAACAAAUGUUAAUUUUCUCAGGAACAGGAGUGGAGAAAUAUGAUUUCUUUCUUUCAGCAUCUCUUGAGAAAAUGUGAAUGUGCAUAAUCUUUGACAGUGUUAUGUAAGUAGACAGUAUUUCAACCACAUCAAAUAUGCACCCAAGACCGAACUGAAGUCUUAUCAGAAAUCUCUUUCAUUGUUUUCUCAGCUUUUUAAUCUCCUUAAAACCGGUCAAACUGCAUUGAUUGCAUUUUCUCCCCGGUCCCUAAACGAAACAGACACUUUACUAGAUCACUAAUUCAUUCAUUCUAUUAAUGUAAGACAUUAUUCUCGUGAGAACUACUUUAUUUAGUCUUCUGAGGCAACAAGUUAUGAUAGAAGAGAAGCUGCAUGUAUUUAACUAUAUUUGACAAACAAAUGGCCUACCAAAUGUCAGAAAUUAUAAUAUGGCCUACCAAAUGUUGGAAAUUAUAAGCAGAAACCUGUCAAAAUUAGGGUGAAAGUAGCCAGUAGCCUACAGCCCAGUAUGGAGUAUCAGCCAAAUGAAUUAUUAUAGUGUAUCGAACUGCGCUGGUAGCCUACUUUUUGAAAUGAUUUGUUUGACAAUCAAAUUAAAAUAUCAUAACACAACAACUCAUGUUAUGCGAAACUGAUCAUGUACAGAAUGCAAAAAAACAACAGUAAACGGGAUAAGACAUAUCCUGUCUAAGAUCAGUAUAUCCCAGACAUCUUAAACAGGUUUGUCAUAACCAGGACGCAAGCUUAUUUGGGUUACUGUAAAUGGGAUAUGACUCAAAAACAAUACUUGAGUGUCCCGAAUAAUAACGGGGAAAUUGGUGUGCAUGUUAGCAUGGUCAGUGACACAUUCAAUACCGCCUUGCACACUCUGGCCUGGAUCUAGCUGAUCUAGGGUGUAAUCAUUAGUCCAAACAGUUGCAAAUGAGAGUUUCUAUUGGACAAAUUCAACUUUUAAGAAAUAUUUUUCAACAGAAUCGGCAGAAUGAAUACAUCCCUGAUCACCCGCAAACACAGUUCACUUUCAUAGCAGCCACAUACAAACAGCGUGCUCACUUUGCUCAUUGUAUAAUUCCAUCUCACAUCUACGCACUAGUCUGUGACCAGUCGAAAAGCCAAGCCAAACCUUCUUACCAUAACUGAUAACCACACACAGCCUGCCCUACAUCAUUGUCACCAUAUUAGCU
rnacentral:lncRNA from 13 species